GACUCGGUGGCGUAGCGGUAGCACAUUCCAAAUUUCUAUAUAGGUGUUUCGUUCACGGAGGGUAUGGAGUUCAAUUCUCCGUCGAGCCA